UACGUAGGUGGCAAGCGUUGUCCGGAUUUAUUGGGUUUAAAGGGUGCGUAGGCGGUCUUUUAAGUCAGUGCUGAAAUAUCCCGGCUUAACCGGGAGGGUGGCAUUGAUACUGAAGGACUUGAGUACAGUCGAGGUAGGCGGAAUUGACGGUGUAGCGGUGAAAUGCUUAGAUAUCGUCAAGAACACCGAUAGUGUAGACAGCUUACUAGGCUGAAACUGACGCUGAGGCACGAAAGUGUGGGGAUCAAACAGG
rnacentral:rRNA from 1 species